ensembl:lncRNA
AAGGCGCCGGCGGCAGCAGCAGCCGCCCCGGCUGCAGUGGGAAAACGUAGGGGAAGACCUAAGAAGGAGGAGAAGGAAGAAAAGGCAUCCCAGGAAUCAUCUGAGGAGGAGGAGGAAGAGGAGGAGGAAGAUGAAGACCAGUGCCACCACAUGACCACUGUUCACGACAAAGCCCUCGUUGCCAAGAGGAGGGUUAACACAGUACCAAUAUCAUGCAGCCGCACUGGAUAGAACGAUGGACCUUUGAUCUAAGAAUUACAAGAACGGUAACGGCCCUUUUUCUCAAUGCGUCAUCGCGAGUCUUUUCUACUGGACGAACGUGUGCUCCGAGGAGCCUGGCCAUUUCAGUUUUUCCGGUUUGUAGGACAUUCUCUCUGCUUAGUGUUCCUUAUG